UAGGCAACGACCCCCCAGAGCCGGAAACUUGGUCAAACUCGGUCAUUUAGAGGAAGUAAAAGUCGUAACAAGGUAACCGUGCCCUGUAGUGGGGGAUAACUAGUCGAAAGAUUAACUAAUGCCGCAUACGACCUGAGGGUGAAGGUGGGGGACCGCAAGGCCUCAUGCUAUAGGAGCGGCCGAUGUCUGAUUAGCUAGUUGGUGAGGUAAAGGCUCACCAAGGCGACGAUCAGUAGCUGGUCUGAGAGGACGAUCAGCCACACUGGGACUGAGACACGGCCCAGACUCCUACGGGAGGCCGCAGUGGGGAAUUUUGGACAAUGGGGGCAACCCUGAUCCAGCAAUGCCGCGUGUGUGAAGAAGGCCUUCGGGUUGUAAAGCACUUUUGUCCGGAAAGAAAUCGCACUUACUAAUAUUAGGUGUGGAUGACGGUACCGGAAGAAUAAGGACCGGCUAACUACGUGCCAGCAGCCGCGGGAAUACGUAGGGUCCAAGCGUUAAUCGGAAUUACUGGGCGUAAAGCGUGCGCAGGCAGUUGUGCAAGACCGAUGUGAAAUCCCCGGGCUUAACCUGGGGAAUUGCAUUGGUGACUGCACGGCUAGAGUGUGUCAAGGGGGGUAGAAUUCCACGUGUAGCAGUGAAAUGCGUACAGAUGUGGAGGAAUACCGAUGGCGAAGGCAGCCCCCUGGGAUAACACUGACGCUCAUGCACGAAGCGUGGGGGAGCAAACAGGAUUAGAUACCCUGGUAGUCACGCCCUAACGAUGUCAACUAGUUGUUGGGGAUUCAUUUCCUUAGUACGUACCUAACGCGUGAAGUUGACCGGCCUGGGGAGUACAGUCGCAGGAUUAAAACUCAAAGAAAUUGACGGGACCCGCACAACCGGUGGAUGAUGUGGAUAAUUCGAUGCAACGCGAAAACCUUU
rnacentral:rRNA from 1 species